CCUACGGGAGGCAGCAGUGAGGAAUAUUGGUCAAUGGACGAGAGUCUGAACCAGCCAAGUAGCGUGAAGGAUGACUGCCCUAUGGGUUGUAAACUUCUUUUAUAUGGGAAUAAAACGUUCCACGUGUGGGGUUUUGUAUGUACCAUAUGAAUAAGGAUCGGCUAACUCCGUGCCAGCAGCCGCGGUAAUACGGAGGAUCCGAGCGUUAUCCGGAUUUAUUGGGUUUAAAGGGAGCGUAGAUGGGUUGUUAAGUCAGUUGUGAAAUUUUGCGGCUCAACCGUAAAAUUGCAAUUGAUACUGGCAGUCUUGAGUACAGUUGAGGUAGGCGGAAUGCGUGGUGUAGCGGUGAAAUGCUUAGAUAUCACGAAGAACCCCGAUUGCGAAGGCAGCUUACUAAACUGUGACUGACAUUGAUGCUCGAAAGUGUGGGUAUCAAACAGGAUUAGAUACCCCAGUAGUC
rnacentral:rRNA from 1 species